CUCCGGUUGAUCCCGCCGGAUCCGACUGCUAUCAGAGUGGGACUAAGCCAUGCGAGUCAACAUAGCAAUAUGUGGCAUACGGCUCAGUAACACGUAGUCAACAUGCCCAGGGGACGUGGAUAACCUCGGGAAACUGAGGAUAAACCGCGAUAGGUCAUCACUUCUGGAAUGGGUAAUGACUCAAAUCUACAUGGCCCCUGGAUUGGACUGCGGCCGAUCAGGCUGUUGGUGAGGUAAUGGCCCACCAAACCUGUAACCGGUACGGGCUCUGAGAGGAGGAGCCCGGAGAUGGGCACUGAGACAAGGGCCCAAGCCCUAUGGGGCGCAGCAGGCGCGAAACCUCUGCAAUAGGCGAAAGCCUGACAGGGUUACUCUGAGUGAUUUCCGUUAAGGAGAUCUUUUGGCACCUCUAAAAAUGGUGCAGAAUAAGGGGUGGGCAAGUCUGGUGUCAGCCGCCGCGGUAAUACCAGCACCCCGAGUGGUCGGGACGUUUAUUGGGCCUAAAGCAUCCGUAGCCGGUUCUACAAGUCUUCCGUUAAAUCCACCUGCUUAACAGAUGGGCUGCGGAAGAUACUAUAGAGCUAGGAGGCGGGAGAGGCAAGCGGUACUCGAUGGGUAGGGGUAAAAUCCGUUGAUCCAUUGAAGACCACCAGUGGCGAAGGCGGCUUGCCAGAACGCGCUCGACGGUGAGGGAUGAAAGCUGGGGGAGCAAACCGGAUUAGAUGCCCGGGUAGUCCCAGCUGUAAACGAUGCAGACUCGGUGAUGAGUUGGCUUAUUGCUAACUCAGUGCCGCAGGGAAGCCGUUAAGUUUGCCGCCUGGGGAGUACGGUGCGCAAGACUGAAACUUAAAGGAAUUGGCGGGGGAGCA
rnacentral:rRNA from 1 species